rnacentral:rRNA from 1 species
AAUGGACGAAAGUCUGAUGCAGCAACGCCGCGUGGAGGAUGACACAUUUCGGUGCGUAAACUCCUUUUAUAUGAGAAGAUAAUGACGGUAUUAUAUGAAUAAGCACCGGCUAACUCCGUGCCAGCAGCCGCGGUAAUACGGGGGGUGCAAGCGUUACUCGGAAUCACUGGGCGUAAAGAGCAUGUAGGCGGAUUAAUAAGUUUGAAGUGAAAUCCUAUAGCUUAACUAUAGAACUGCUUUGAAAACUGUUAAUCUAGAAUGUGGGAGAGGUAGAUGGAAUUUCUGGUGUAGGGGUAAAAUCCGUAGAGAUCAGAAGGAAUACCGAUUGCGAAGGCGAUCUACUGGAACAUUAUUGACGCUGAGAUGCGAAAGCGUGGGGAGCAAA